rnacentral:lncRNA from 1 species
ACGUUAUAAAAUGCCUGCUCCAGUUAUGUUACCUGGAAGAGCUUGAGAAGAGUGAGUACGUUUUUAGUCUGUUCAGUAGAAAUGUUUACUGAUGUCUCGUCCAGAACUUUUGUUUGUGGAAAGAUUAAUUAUUGAUUUAAUCUCUCAAUGUCUCUUUUUAUAGAUCUGUUCAGAUUUUCUAAUUUUUCUUGACACAAGUUUUUCACUUUGUGUAAUUCUAAGAAUUCCUAUUCAUGUCAGUUACUAAUGUGUGGGUAUACAGUUAUUUAUAUAGUCUCUGAUAAUCUUUUAUUUUGCUCUGGGUUUAAUAAUAUUACCGUUUUUAUUUCUGACUUUACAUUUUUCAUGGUUUCUCUCUUUUGCCACAGUCCAAUGGAAGGUUUAUUGUCUCAACAUUCUGGUUUCACUGCUCUGUUUUUAAAUAAUCACACUUCGGUGUCUGAUUUUGAUAUUUUCAUGUGGUCUUUCCUUUAUCUACACUUCAGUGCAUUGUUUCCUGUCUUCUUUCAGCUUUUGUUCUUCUUUUUCUGAUUCUGGAAGGGAUAUGCUACAUUCUUGACUUGAGGUGUUGUUUUCACAAAUGCAAUCAUUGAAUGCUGUAACUUUAACCAUGAGGAAAGACUUUCCUGUGUCUACUAAGAUAGGACAAUGGUCUAAUUUGUUAUCAGUCUUCUCUGAACAUUUCUGAUUUCCUUUAUUUCUUCUCUGUCUCCAACACCUAGUCUGCUUUCCAUUUUGUAUCUAUUUUCCAUUUUGACAUCUGUUAGUGAUUUGGAAUUUUAACCCCCUGCUGCUAAAGAAGCUACUUUGUAAGGUUAAGUGGUCCUUUUAAAUUUAUUGAGACACCUUUAGCCAAAUGGUUUUUUUUAAUUCUACAUGGAUGGAUCCCGAGGAUAUCAUCCUGAGUGAGGUAACACAGUCACAAAAGAACACACAUGGUAUGCACACACUGAGAAGUAGAUCUUAGCCCAGAAGCUUGGAAUACCCAAGAUGCAAAUCGUGAAAGACAUGAAACUCAAGAAAAAGAAAGACCAAAGUGUGGCUACUUUGAUCCUUCUUAGAAGAGAGAACAAAAUACCCAUGGAAGGAGUUAAAGAAAGAAAGUGUGGAGCCGAGACCAAAGGAAUGACCAUCUAGAGACUGCCCCACCAGGAGAUCCAUCCCAUAUACAACCACCAAACCCAGACACUAUUGUGGAUGCCAACAAGAGCUUGCUGACAGCCUGAUAUAGCUGUCUCCUGAGAGGCUUUGCCAGUGCCUGACAAAUACAGAAGUGAAUGCUCACAGACAUCCAUUGGAUGGAGCACAGGGUCCUCAACGAAGGAGCUAGAGAUGGAACCCAAGGAGCUGAAGGGGUUUGUAGUCCCAUAGGAGGAACAACAAUAUGAAAUAACCAGUACCCCCAGAGCUCCCUGGGACUAGACCACCAGCCAAAGCUCUAGCUGCAUAUGUAGCAGAGGAUGGCCUUGUCAGUCAUCCAUGGGAGAAGAGAACACAUGGUGGGACUCAUGGCUCCAGCUGCAUAUGUAGCAGAGGAUGGCCUUGUCGGUCAUCCAUGGGAGAAGAGAACACAUGGUGGGACUCAUGGCUCCAGCUGCAUAUGUAGCAGAGGAUGGCCUUGUCAGUCAUCCAUGGGAGAAGAGAACACAUGGUGGGACUCAUGGCUCCAGCUGCAUAUGUAGCAGAGGAUGGCCUAGUCGGUCAUCCAUGGGAGAAGAGAACACAUGGUGGGACUCAUGGCUCCAGCUGCAUAUGUAGCAGAGGAUGGCCUAGUCGGUCAUCAAUGGAAGGAGAAGCCCUUGGUCCUGUGAAGGUUUUAUGCCCCAGUAUAGGGAAAUUCCAGGGCCAGAAAGCAAGAGUGGAUGGGUUGGUGAGCAGGGGGAGAGGGGAGGGGAUAGGGGGUUUUCGGAGGGGACACCAGGAAACAAGAUAAGAUAUGAAAUGUAAAUUUUUAAAAUAUCUAAAAAAAUCUAAUAAAAAAUAAGUAAAUAAAUAAAAUUAAAUUUAUUGAGCUUUAGCCAAAUAUUUUUUAAUUCCACAUCUCUCAUGGGUGGUUUGUUGUUGUUGUUCCUAUUGUUAUUGUCACUGUUUUGUUUACAUUGGCUUUGGUUCCUGGUAGAUACGUGCAUACACUUUAUUCUAUACUGAAAGUGUAAAAUUUAAUUGGAAGUGACUAUUUUAACUAUACAGAAAUUCAUUGAGUUCUACAGAUUUGUGGUACGGUUAGUUUUGAUGUGUGAUAUUCAUAUUAGUUUGCAAGCUAUUUUAAAAUAAAGCUAAUAAAUAAAUU